UACGGAGGGUGCAAGCGUUAUCCGGAUUCACUGGGUUUAAAGGGUGCGUAGGCGGCCAUAUAAGUCAGUGGUGAAAGCUUCCAGCUUAACUGGGAAACUGCCAUUGAAACUGUGUGGCUUGAGUACAAUUGAAGUGGGCGGAAUACAUCAUGUAGCGGUGAAAUGCUUAGAUAUGAUGUAGAACACCGAUUGCGAAGGCAGCUCACUAAAUUGCAACUGACGCUGAGGCGCGAAGGCGUGGGGAGCGAACGGG
rnacentral:rRNA from 1 species